rnacentral:rRNA from 1 species
UACAGAGGGUGCGAGCGUUAAUCGGAAUUACUGGGCGUAAAGCGUGCGUAGACGGUUAUCUAAGUCGGAUGUGAAAGCCCCGGGCUCAACCUGGGAAUUGCAUUCGAGACUGAAUAGCUAGGGUGCGGUAGAGGGAAGCGGAAUUUCCGGUGUAGCGGUGAAAUGCGUAGAUAUCGGAAGGAACAUCAGUGGCGAAAGCGGCUUCCUGGACCAGCACCGACGUUCAGGCACGAAAGCUAGGGGAGCAAACGGG